CAAUAGCGUAUAUUAAAGUUGCUGCAGUUAAAAAGCUCGUAGUCGGAUUUCUGGCGCCGGGGCGCGGACCGCCGAGAGGUGUGCACUGCGUGCCGGGGCCUUUUUCCUCCCGACGUCUGCGUGUGCUCUUAACUGAGCGUGCGUGUGGCUCGGGACCUUUACUUUGAAAAAAUUAGAGUGUUCAAAGCAGGCCUCCGCUUGAAUACAUUAGCAUGGAAUAAUGGAAUAGGACUUUGGUUCUAUUUUGUUGGUUCUGGGACCGAAGUAAUGAUUAAUAGGGAUGGUUGGGGGCAUUAGUAUUUAAUUGUCAGAGGUGAAAUUCUUAGAUUUAUGAAAGACUAACUACUGCGAAAGCAUUUGCCAAGGAUGUUUNCAUUGA
rnacentral:rRNA from 1 species